CGCCUGAUGGUGUAUUGUCAACACGUCCUCUUACCAUAGAUAGUGGCGCUCGACUCGAGGAAAUGCCCCGUUCGACUCGGGGUCGGGCCU